rnacentral:miRNA from 1 species
UUUUAUACAAGAUUAGCC